GACGAACGCUGGCGGCGUGCCUAAUACAUGCAAGUCGAGCGAAAGGACGCGACGCUUGCUGCUCUGAUGUUAGCGGCGGACGGGUGUGAAACGCGUGGAUAACCUCCCUAUAAGACUGGGAUAAUUUCGGGACACCGGCGAUAAUCCCGGAUAAUCUUCUGAUCCGCAUGGUUGAAAAGUGAAAGACGGUCUUGCUGUAACUUAUCGAUGCUUACGCGCUGCAUUAGCUAGUUGGUAAGGUAACAGGUUACCAAGGCAACGAUGCGUAGCCGACCUGAUAGGGUGAUCGGCCACACUGGAACGUAGACACGGUCCAUACUCCUACGGUAGGCAGCAGUAGGGAAUCGUCCGCAAUGGGCGAAAGCCUGACGGAGCAACGCCGCGUGAGUGAUGAAGGUCUUCGGAGCGGAAUGCUCGGUUAUUAGUGAAGAACAUAUGUGGAAGGAACUGAGCACAUCGUGACGGUACCGAAUCAGAAAGCCACGGCUAACUACGUG
rnacentral:rRNA from 1 species